AAUUGGAGGGCAAGUCUGGUGCCAGCAGCCGCGGUAAUUCCAGCUCCAAUAGCGUAUAUUAAAGUUGCUGCAGUUAAAAAGCUCGUAGUUGAAUUUCGGGACCAAUAUGUCGGUCGUGCUUUUGUACGUACUAAUAUAAUUGGUUUCUCCCUUCUGAAGAACCUUGAUGUCAUUAAUUUGGUGUCUUGGGGAAUCAGGACUGUUACUUUGAAAAAAUUAGAGUGUUUAAAGCAGGCUCGCGCUCGAAUACAUUAGCAUGGAAUAAUGAAAUAGGACGUUUGAUUCUAUUUUGUUGGUUUCUAGGAUCGACGUAAUGAUUAAUAGGGAUAGCUGGGGGCAUUAGUACUCAAUUGUCAGAGGUGAAAUUCUUGGAUUUAUUGAAGACUAACUACUGCGAAAGCAUUUGCCAAGGAUGUUUUCAUUAAUCAAGAACGAAAGUUAGGGGAUCGAAGACGAUCAGAUACCGUCGUAGUCUUAACCAUAAACUAUGCCGACUAGGGAUCGGAUGAUGUUAAUUUUUUAAUGACUCAUUCGGCGCCUUACGGGAAACCAAAGUGU
rnacentral:rRNA from 1 species